rnacentral:rRNA from 1 species
AUUAAAGUUGUUGCAGUUAAAAAGCUCGUAGUUGGACUUGUGUGCGCUGUCCGCGGGUGGCCUGCGCCCAAAAGGGCGUUUCGGUUCGGCCCCGGUGGCGCCUUGAAAUCUGCAGCUGGGGGGACGUUGGCCUUAACUGGUCGGCGACCGCACGCCGGCUGCUCGGUUACUGUGAGAAAAUUAGAGUGUUCAAGGCAGGCAUUGGGUGCAAUUGAAUACAUUAGCAUGGAAUAAUAAAAUAUGGCUCCUGCCGUAUUUUGUUGGUUUUGACUGGUGGGAGUAAUGAUUGAUAGGGACGGUUGGGGGUGCUAGUAUUGAGCGGCCAGAGGUGAAAUUCAUGGAUUCGCUCAAGACUAACUUAUGCGAAAGCAUUCACCAAGGACGUCCUCUUUAAUCAAGAACGAAAGUUGGGGGAUCGAAGACGAUCAGAUACCGUCGUAGUCUCAACCAUAAACUAUGUCGACUUGGGAUCGGCGGUAGUUUUUUCAUUAAGACACUGUCGGGACCACGGGAGAAAUCAAAGUGUCUGGACUCUGGGGGAAGUAUGGUCGCAAGGCUGAAACUUGAAGGAAUUGACGGAAGGGCACCACCAGGAGUGGAGCCUGCGGCUUAAUUUGACCCAACACGGGGAAACUUACCAGGUCCAGAGAUGUAGAGGAUUGACAGAUUGAAGCUCUUUCUUGAUCACUUCGGUGGUGGUGCAUGGCCGUUCUUAGUUGGUGGAGUGAUUUGUCUGGUUAAUUCCGUUAACGAACGAGACCUCAGCCUGCUAGUGUAGUCGGCUGGAUUGCCUUUGGCGAUCCGUGAUUUCGACUUCUUAGAGGGACAAUCGACGCGCAGUCGAUGGAAGUUUGAGGCAAUAACAGGUCUGUUAUGCCCUUAGAUGUUCUGGGCCGCACGCGCGCUACACUGCUGGGCUCAGCGAGUUUUACUUGGCCGAGAGGCCCGGUUAAUCUUGUGAAAUCCCAGCGUGCUUGGGCUCGCCUCCUGCAACUGGAGGCGCCAACGAGGAAUUCCUAGUAGACGCAGGUCAUCAACCUGCAUCGAUUACGUCCCUGCCCUUUGUACACACCGCCCGUCGUUCCAUAAGAGUGAGGCAUCCGGUGAAUUCUCGGGAGAGCCUGGGCGUGGCCAGCAAUGGUCUGCUCGGGUUUGAACUUGCAUAAACUUGGUGCCUAUGAUUAGGG